UACGUAGGGGGCUAGCGUUGUCCGGAAUCAUUGGGCGUAAAGCGCGUGUAGGCGGUCCGGUAAGUCCGCUGUGAAAGUCGGGGGCUCAACCCUCGGAUGCCGGUGGAUACUGUCGGGCUUGAGUACGGAAGAGGCGAGUGGAAUUCCUGGUGUAGCGGUGAAAUGCGCAGAUAUCAGGAGGAACACCAAUUGCGAAGGCAGCACUCUGGGCCGGAACUGACGCUGAGGAGCGAAAGCGUGGGGAGCGAACAGG
rnacentral:rRNA from 1 species